rnacentral:rRNA from 1 species
UACGGGAGGGGGCUAGCGUUGUUCGGAAUUACUGGGCGUAAAGCGCACGUAGGCGGCUUUGCAAGUCGAGAGGUGAAAGGCCCGGGCUCAACCCCGGAAUUGCCUUUGAGACUGCAUCGCUAGAAUUGUGGAGAGGUAAGUGGAAUUCGAGUGUAGAGGUGAAAUUCGUAGAUAUUCGGAAGAACACCAGUGGCGAAGGCGACUUACUGGACACAUAUUGACGCUGAGGUGCGAAAGCGUGGGGAGCAAACAGG